UACGUAGGGACCGAGCGUUGUCCGGAAUCAUUGGGCGUAAAGAGCGUGUAGGCGGCCUUUUAAGUCCUGCGUGAAAUCCUGCGGCUCAACCGCAGACGGUCGUGGGAAACUGGAAGGCUAGAGUGCGGGAGAGGAGAAUGGAAUUCCUGGUGUAGCGGUGAAAUGCGCAGAUAUCAGGAAGAACACCCGUGGCUAAGGCGGCUCUCUAGUACGGUACUGACGCUGAGACGCGAAAGCGUGGGGAGCGAACAGG
rnacentral:rRNA from 1 species